CCUACGGGAGGCUGCAGUGGGGAAUAUUGGACAAUGGGCGAAAGCCUGAUCCAGCCAUGCCGCGUGUGUGAAGAAGGCCUUCGGGUUGUAAAGCACUUUCAGUGGGGAAGAAAGCCUUGGGGCUAAUACCCUCGAGGAAGGACAUCACCCACAGAAGAAGCACCGGCUAACUCCGUGCCAGCAGCCGCGGUAAUACGGAGGGUGCGAGCGUUAAUCGGAAUUACUGGGCGUAAAGCGCGCGUAGGCGGUCUGAUAAGCCGGUUGUGAAAGCCCCGGGCUCAACCUGGGAACGGCAUCCGGAACUGUCAGGCUAGAGUGCAGGAGAGGAAGGUAGAAUUCCCGGUGUAGCGGUGAAAUGCGUAGAGAUCGGGAGGAAUACCAGUGGCGAAGGCGGCCUUCUGGACUGACACUGACGCUGAGGUGCGAAAGCGUGGGUAGCAAACAGGAUUAGAUACCCCAUAGUC
rnacentral:rRNA from 1 species